rnacentral:rRNA from 1 species
AUUGAACGCUGGCGGCAGGCUUAACACAUGCAAGUCGAACGAUGAUUAUCUAGCUUGCUAGAUAUGAUUAGUGGCGGACGGGUGAGUAACAUUUAGGAAUCUGCCUAGUAGUGGGGGAUAGCUCGGGGAAACUCGAAUUAAUACCGCAUACGACCUACGGGUGAAAGGGGGCGCAAGCUCUUGCUAUUAGAUGAGCCUAAAUCAGAUUAGCUAGUUGGUGGGGUAAAGGCCCACCAAGGCGACGAUCUGUAACUGGUCUGAGAGGAUGAUCAGUCACACCGGAACUGAGACACGGUCCGGACUCCUACGGGAGGCAGCAGUGGGGAAUAUUGGACAAUGGGGGCAACCCUGAUCCAGCCAUGCCGUGUGUGUGAAGAAGGCCUUUUGGUUGUAAAGCACUUUAAGCAGGGAGGAGAGGCUAAUGGUUAAUACCCAUUAGAUUAGACGUUACCUGCAGAAUAAGCACCGGCUAACUCUGUGCCAGCAGCCGCGGUAAUACAGAGGGUGCGAGCGUUAAUCGGAAUUACUGGGCGUAAAGCGAGUGUAGGUGGCUCAUUAAGUCACAUGUGAAAUCCCCGGGCUUAACCUGGGAACUGCAUGUGAUACUGGUGGUGCUAGAAUAUGUGAGAGGGAAGUAGAAUUCCAGGUGUAGCGGUGAAAUGCGUAGAGAUCUGGAGGAAUACCGAUGGCGAAGGCAGCUUCCUGGCAUAAUAUUGACACUGAGAUUCGAAAGCGUGGGUAGCAAACAGGAUUAGAUACCCUGGUAGUCCACGCCGUAAACGAUGUCUACUAGCCGUUGGGGUCCUUGAGACUUUAGUGGCGCAGUUAACGCGAUAAGUAGACCGCCUGGGGAGUACGGCCGCAAGGUUAAAACUCAAAUGAAUUGACGGGGGCCCGCACAAGCGGUGGAGCAUGUGGUUUAAUUCGAUGCAACGCGAAGAACCUUACCUGGUCUUGACAUAGUGAGAAUCCUGCAGAGAUGCGGGAGUGCCUUCGGGAAUUCACAUACAGGUGCUGCAUGGCUGUCGUCAGCUCGUGUCGUGAGAUGUUGGGUUAAGUCCCGCAACGAGCGCAACCCUUUUCCUUAUUUGCCAGCGGGUUAAGCCGGGAACUUUAAGGAUACUGCCAGUGACAAACUGGAGGAAGGCGGGGACGACGUCAAGUCAUCAUGGCCCUUACGACCAGGGCUACACACGUGCUACAAUGGUAGGUACAGAGGGUUGCUACACAGCGAUGUGAUGCUAAUCUCAAAAAGCCUAUCGUAGUCCGGAUUGGAGUCUGCAACUCGACUCCAUGAAGUCGGAAUCGCUAGUAAUCGCAGAUCAGAAUGCUGCGGUGAAUACGUUCCCGGGCCU